rnacentral:rRNA from 1 species
GAUGAACACUAGCUCCAGGCUUAACACAUGCAAGUCGAGGGACCGGCGCACGGGUGAGUAACACGUAUCCAACCUGCCCUUUACUCGGGGAUAGCCUUUCGAAAGAAAGAUUAAUACCCGAUAUAAAGGAUGGGGAUGCGUUCCAUUAGGUUGUUGGUGAGGUAACGGCUCACCAAGCCUUCGAUGGAUAGGGGUUCUGAGAGGAAGGUCCACCACAUUGGAACUGCGCCACGGUCAAAAAGCGUACGGGAGGUAGCAGUGAGGAAUAUUGGACAAUGGGCGCUAGCCUGAACCAGCCAAGUAGCGUGAAGGAUGAAGGCUUAUGGGUCUUAAACUUCUUUUAUAUAAGAAUAUGUAUUAUAUGAAUAAGGAUCGGCUAACUCCGUGCCAGCCGCCGCGGUAAUAC